rnacentral:rRNA from 1 species
UGAGGAAUUUUGCACAAUGGGGGGAACCCUGACGCAGCAACGCCGCGUGGGUGAUGAAGGCCUUCGGGUCGUAAAGCCCUGUCGGGCGGGAAGAACGUCCCUUCGGGGAAUGACGGUACCGCCAGCGGAAGCACCGGCUAACUCCGUGCCAGCAGCCGCGGUAAUACGGAGGGUGCAAGCGUUAUUCGGAAUUACUGGGCGUAAAGGGCGUGCAGGCGGGAGAGCAAGUCUGAUGUGAAAGCCCGGGGCUUAACCCCGGAAGGGCAUUGGAAACUGCUUUUCUUGAGUUCUGGAGAGGAAGGGAGAAUUCCCGGUGUAGAGGUGAAAUGCGUAGAUAUCUAGAGGAACGCCAGUGGCGAAAGCGGGGCACUGGGCCUUACCUGACGCUGAGGCGCGAAAGCGUGGGUAGCAAACG